UGUGAGAAGCAGUAACUUGGACAGAC
rnacentral:piRNA from 1 species